rnacentral:rRNA from 1 species
AUUGAACGCUGGCGGCAUGCCUUACACAUGCAAGUCGAACGGUAACAGGUCUUCGGAUGCUGACGAGUGGCGAACGGGUGAGUAAUACAUCGGAACGUGCCUAGUAGUGGGGGAUAACUACUCGAAAGAGUGGCUAAUACCGCAUGAACUCCAAGGAUGAAAGCAGGGGAUCGGAAGGCCGUGUGCUACUAGAGCUGACGACGGCAGAGCAGGUAGUUGGUGGGAUAAAAGCCUACCAAGCCGACGAUCUGUAGCUGGUCUGAGAGGACGAUCAGCCACACUGGGACUGAGGAACGGCCCAGACUCCUACGGGAGGCAGCAGUGGGGAAUUUUGGACAAUGGGCGCAAGCCUGAUCCAGCAAUGCCGCGUGCAGGAUGAAGGCCUUCGGGUUGUAAACUGCUUUUGUACGGAACGAAAAGCCCCGGGUUAAUACCCUGGGGUCAUGACGGUACCGUAAGAAUAAGCACCGGCUAACUACGUGCCAGCAGCCGCCGUAA